rnacentral:rRNA from 1 species
UAACACGUAGGGGGCGAGCGUUGUCCGGAUUUAUUGGGCGUAAAGAGCUCGUAGGCGGUUCGAUAAGUCGGGUGUGAAAACUCUGGGCUCAACUCAGAGACGCCACCCGAUACUGUUGUGACUUGAGUCCGGUAGGGGAGUAUGGAAUUCCCGGUGUAGCGGUGAAAUGCGCAGAUAUCGGGAGGAACACCAGUGGCGAAGGCGGUACUCUGGGCCGGAACUGACGCUGAGGAGCGAAAGCGUGGGUAGCGAACAGGAUUAGAUACCCUGGUAGUCCACGCCGUAAACGUUGGGCACUAGGUGUGGGUCUCAACCAACGGGAUCCGUGCCGCAGCUAACGCAUUAAGUGCCCCGCCUGGGGAGUACGGCCGCAAGGCUA